GGUCUUGUGGUGUAGGGGUUAUCACGCCUAUCUAGAGAGUAGGAGGUUGAGGGUUCGAGUCCCUCCAAGACACG